rnacentral:lncRNA from 10 species
AGUCUGCUCUUCACACGGAUACCACGAAUGCCACGGUGGCCUCCUGAAGACGGAGUCUGGUCUCACAUUCCUCCAGCUUCCUGUGAGGCUUCCCCAAAAAUGCAAAUUCAAUCACAAGGCGCCUGGGCUGACGUCUCCCCUCCUGUGCGUUCCCUUCUCCUGGGUCAUCUGUCGCCCCCCCGCACUGUCCGUGGCUGCGUCUCCUCUCCUGUCCCUUCCGUUCUCCUGGGUCAUCGCCCCCCAACCCCAACCCUCCAUGGCCGCGUCGUCCCCGCUUCAACCCCACUGUCUAUGGCUGCGUCUCCUCUCCUGUCCGUUCCCUUCUACUAGGUCAUUGUCGCCCCCCCCCCCCCACAUUGUCCUCACAGCUUCCUGGCUGCACUGGCGAGGGACAUUUCCUUCCAUUUCCAGUGAAAGGCCUUUGCCAUAUUAAAUCAGUAAAACAAGAAAAACUCCCCCACCUCUUAUCAGAUUGGAGGGCACAGAAAGCACACGUGUUACAUGCGUGGUGUGGACGUUUCCCAUGUCAUAAUUUCAGAUGCAUAAACCCCAGCGAAGGGUGAGCGCACGGCAUGGCACCUGCAGCAUGGGGUUCACGUUCUGGAAGGUUCUGGCUGACUCCCACCCCGCCCUUCACUGGCCAAGUAAACUUGCAGAAGUUACUUAACCCUUGACCUAGAAGAGCCUCCUGUCACCUGAAAAGGGAAAGUCGGGAUUGUAAGGAAAGGAAUCUCAUAGGGCUUCUCUGAGGAGACAAAUCAUUGGAUUGGGCUUAGACGUUCCAUCCGUGGCAAGAUUUCCGGCUUUGCCCUUUGGAGCCUGAGGAGCAAGGGUAGAAUGAGGAUCGUGAGGUUCUUCAGAGGCAGUUACUCACGAGGUCACAGCGCAGAAACGGCAAGAAAUGUCAGGACAACUAUGGAUGUGAAGGAUGGGAGAGGGGCCUCCUUCCGCAUGAGGUCCCCAGAGGUAUUUGUCUCCAUCUAGAAACUGAGGGGCAUUUGUCUCCAUCCAGGACUUGGGGGGCCUCCUUCUCCAUCCAGGACUGGGGUGUGUCCUUCUGCAUCCAGGACAGGGGGACAUCCUUCUCCAUCCAUGAUUCAGAGUUCAUCCUUCUCUAUCCAGGAGAGGGGUUCAUCCUUCUCCAUCUAGGACUUGAGGGACAUCCUUCUCCAUCCAGGACUGAG